rnacentral:rRNA from 1 species
AUGUGCGUGCGUGCGUGCAGGUACCAGCUGGAGGCGCUGGAGCGGGCCAUGAGCGGGAACACGGUGGCUUUCCUGGAUACGGGGGCCGGGAAGACGCUCAUCGCGGGGCUGCUGCUGCGCUCGUACGCGCACCGCGUGCGGAAGCCGGCGCGGGACUUCGCCGUCUUCCUCGUCCCCACCCGCGUGCUCGUGGAGCAGCAGGCACGGGUCAUCGAGGCGCAUACCGACCUCCGCGUGUCCAAGUUCACCGGCGACAUGGGCGUCGACUUCUGGGACGCCGCAAUCUGGCGCCGCGUGAUCCUCCUGGACAACCUCCGCCACAGCUUCUUCAGCCUCCAGGACAUCGCCCUGCUCAUCUUCGACGAGUGCCACCGCGCCAAGGGCAACUCCCCGUAUGCGUGCAUUCUCAAGGAAUUCUACCACCCUGUAAUGAAUUCUAGACCACGGGGCCCGCUGCCGAGGAUAUUUGGGAUGACUGCUUCACCCACAGAUUCAAAAAAUCUGCUGCAAGAGAGCUAUUCUAAACGAAUCGUCGAACUGGAGAAUCUAUUGAAUUCAAAGGUGUACACAGUUGACAAUGAAUCGGCUUUAUCGGAAUACAUACCAUUUGCCACUACGAGGAUUGUGCAGUACGAUGAUUAUAUCAUCCCAUCCAACUCACAUAACCAUAUUAAGACUUGUUUGGACAGGUUGCAAGAAAAGCAUUUAGAAGUCCUCAAGACAAAUCUACAUGGAUUGUCUCGGAAAAAUGCGAAGAAAGGGAUAUCAAAACUACACAAGGCAUUCUUAUAUUGCACAGCUAAUCUUGGAGUAUGGCUAGCAGCAAAGGCUGCUGAGAUACACUCAACAACUAACGAACAAUUCUUAUCUUUCUGGGGUGAAGAACUGGAUAAGAAUGUUGAAGGCUUUGUUAGAAGCUAUAGUGAAGAAGUAUACAGGGAACUCUCAUGUUUUUCAAAGAGAGGUCAUAUUGGUGAAGAUUUUGCAGCUGAUUUGCAAGAUGGGUUAUUGACACCUAAAGUUCAUUGUCUUGUUCAGUUUCUUCUGGAAUACAGAGAGUUGUUACAAGCAUUGUAUUGGAGUCUCCUGUCCACUAUCAAUCAAAUGCCUGGGUGGAUUGUUAAACACAUUGCAGGAAACAGACCUAUGUUUCACAACCAGAGUAGAAAUAAACAAACGGAAAUUGUUGACGCCUUUAAAGGAGGAAAGGUACAUAUAAUUGUGACUACACAAGUAUUGGAGGAGGGGCUGAAUGUGCCAGGUUGUCACUUAGUAAUUCGCUUUGAUCCACCCACAACUGGGCGCAGCUUUAUACAGUCACGUGGUCGAGCUCGGAUGCCAAACUCUGACUAUGUUUUGCUUGUUAGAAGGGGGGAUGCAGAGGCCCACUCUAAGACACUGAAGUUUCUUGCAAGCGGGCAAAUAAUGCGGGAAGCAUCUCUGAAGCUUGCAUCUACUAUGUGUCAACCACUUGAAGACACCUUGUUGCAGGAAGAAUAUUACCGUGUUGAAUCCACUGGAGCAACUGUGACUAUGAACUCCAGUGUCCAGUUGAUUUAUUUUUUCUGCUCGAAGCUCCCAUCUGAUGAAUACUUUAAACCUCUACCGAGAUUCAUUAUUGACAAGGAACUACGUACUUGCACCCUGUACCUUCCCAAUAGCAGCCCUGUGCAGGCUGUUAAUACAGAAGGAGAAGUUUCUGCCCUCAAAAAGGCAGUUUGUCUUAAGGCCUGCCGAGAAUUACAUGCUGUCGGCGCUCUAACAGAUUAUCUGUUACCAGAAUUUGGUUUUCCAUGUGAAGAAGAACCCGACAUUGUUGUUGAGAAAUACCAACACGAGCAGCCUGAGUACUUUCCAGAGGAAUUUGUGUACAAUUGGUUAUCCUUUUCUCGUCUUGGAAUAUAUUAUUGCUACAAGAUUUCAGUAGAAGGGUGCUUGAAAACAACUUAUUGUCCAAAUGAUAUACUUCUAGCUGUGAAAUGUGAUUUGGGACCAGACUUUGUCUCUACCUCACUAAAAUUGUUUGGUGAGCAAGACAAUGCUAGUGUUGCCAUGAAAUAUGUGGGAAUCAUUCAUUUGAAUCAAGAACAGGUAGUUAUGGCAAGAAGAUUUCAGACUACUAUUCUUUCUUUGCUUAUUAAUAAAGACCAUUCUGAGGUCAUUAAUGCUGUUAAAUACUCCCAUGAGAUGCAAGUGUCCAUUGGAAUUGUCUAUCUACUGCUACCCUUAGUUUCUGGCAAAGUUGAUUGGUGCAGUAUCAAGUUCUCGACCUCGCAAGUAUAUGAUGCCAGUAAUAAGGAUAACAGACAUUGCCAUUCUUGUAAACAAGUUGAUUUACUGCAAACAAAAGAUGGUCCUCUGUGCAGAUGCAUGCUUCAAAAUUCCAUUGUUUGUACCCCUCACAAUAGCAAAUUCUAUGCUGUUAAUGGGUUCCUUGACUUAAACUCCAAAUCUCUUCUGCACCUUCGUGAUGGCAGUGCCCUUACCUACAUAAACUAUUUCAAUACUAGGCAUGGACUCAGUCUAACACAUGAAAAUCAACCCCUGUUGGCAGCCAGGAAUCCUGUUGAAGUGCGGAAUUUCCUCCAGAAGCGCCAUUAUAAAAAUAAAAAAGAAUCGCGCACUUCACAUGGUGUUGAGUUGCCACCUGAGCUCUGCAGACUAGUCAUCUCGCCGGUGUCUAAUAAUACCCUGUACAGCUUCUCGGUCAUUCCUUCUGUAAUGUACCGCAUCCAGUGUCUGCUUCUUUCAGCAAAGUUGAAAAAUCAACUGGGCCCAACAAUGCAGCAGUUUGCCAUACCAGCUCUGAAGAUUCUAGAAGCAGUAACAACCAAGGAAUGCCAAGAGGAGUUUUCACAGGAAUCAUUAGAAACUCUGGGGGAUUCUUUCCUCAAGUACGUCGCCACACAACAUUUGUAUGGCAAAUACAAGCUUCAGCAUGAGGGAACAUUAACCAAGAUGAAGAAAAACUUGAUCUCCAAUGCAGCUCUAUGCCAGCUGGCCUGCAACAACAAUCUUGUGGGUUACAUUCAAGGGGAAGAGUUUAACCCAAAAGGUUGGAUCAUUCCAGGGCUUGGUUACGACAUGUGUGGUAACAGCAAAAUUUCCUUUUUAAGCUCCAAUGAUAUGCACACUUUGAGAAAAAUGUCUGUUAGAAGUAAGAGAAUAGCAGAUACAGUUGAGGCGUUGAUUGGAGCCUACCUUGGUGCUGCCGGAGAACAGGCUGCAUUUGUUUUCCUAAAAUCAUUAGGAUUGGAUAUAGAAUUUCACAGCAAUAUUCCACUUGAAAGGAAGAUUGUAUUAAAAUAUGAAAAGUUCAUCAACGUGAGAAGUUUGGAAAUGAUUCUUGCUUAUGACUUCAAGGAUACCUCAUUGUUAGUGGAAGCAUUGACACAUGGGUCAUACCAGACUGCUGGCGCUACUGCAUGCUAUCAGAGGCUUGAGUUUCUCGGUGACGCUGUGUUGGACCAUCUCUUCACUAUAUAUUUCUACAAUCAGUACCCUGAAUGUACUCCAGAAUUGUUGACAGAUCUUAGAUCUGCUUCCGUCAACAACAAUUGCUAUGCGCAUGCAGCUGCUAAAGCAGGACUAAACAAGCACAUUCUUCAUUCGUCAUUACAAUUGCACGGAAGGAUGGCUUACUACUUUGAGAAUUUUAAGCAGCCAUUUACAGGUCCAUCACAUGGUUGGGAAGCUGGCAUUGGUCUACCCAAGGUUCUUGGGGAUGUUAUUGAAUCAUUAGCUGGUGCCAUUUAUCUUGACAGCAAGUAUGACAAAGAGGUGGUUUGGAAAAGCAUGAAACAGCUAUUGGAGCCUCUCGCGACGCCGGAGACGGUUGAGCGUGACCCAGUGAAACUGCUGCAGGAAUUUUGUGCUCGCAGGUCUUAUAGCAGUUCUUACACAAAGGCCCAGAAAGAUGGAGUAUCUUCGGUGGUUGCGGAGGUACAGGUAGAAGGCACUACCUACUCAGCAACAGAAACUGGCCCUGAUAAGAUUGUCGCCAAAAAGCUUGCAGCGAAGUCGCUGCUAAAUAAUCUGAAGGCUAUAGUGCCAUGA